AGAGUUUGAUCCUGGCUCAGGAUGAACGCUAGCGGCAGGCCUAAUACAUGCAAGUCGAACGGUGAUAGCAAUAUCGUAGUGGCGCACGGGUGCGUAACACGUAUGCAACCUACCUUAUACUGAGGGAUAGCCUUUCGAAAGGGAGAUUAAUACCUCAUAACACAUUGAACUGGCAUCAGCUUAUUGUUAAAGAUUUAUUGGUAUAAGAUGGGCAUGCGUCCAAUUAGUUAGUUGGCGAGGUAACGGCUCACCAAGACGAUGAUUGGUAGGGGAACUGAGAGGUUAAUCCCCCACACUGGCACUGAGAUACGGGCCAGACUCCUACGGGAGGCAGCAAUAGGGAAUAUUGGGCAAUGGAGGCAACUCUGACCCAGCCAUGCCGCGUGCGGGAAGAAGGCGUUAUGCGUUGUAAACUGCUUUUAUAUAGGAAGAAAUAGACCUUGCGAGGUAAGUUGACGGUACUAUAUGAAUAAGCACCGGCUAACUCCGUGCCAGCAGCCGCGGUAAUACGGAGGGUGCAAGCGUUGUCCGGAUUUAUUGGGUUUAAAGGGUGCGUAGGCGGUUUAUUAAGUCAGUGGUGAAAGACGGUCGCUCAACGAUUGCAGUGCCAUUGAUACUGGUAG
rnacentral:rRNA from 1 species